rnacentral:sRNA from 1 species
CUUUGAACGAUUCGAGACCAGUUGGGCCAGUGAAUGACAAAAGCAGGAUGGACCCCAGCUAUACUGGUCAGGAUACAACCCGCUGUGACCUUUGUGAGACAUCAGUAGUCCAAAAGUACUGCGAUAUCUGUCGUGUGAACUUGUGCAUCUCAUGUGUAUAGGAAUACACAUUUCUGAUGAGUAUGACAGGCAUAAAGUUGUCCCUUUCAGUCGGAGAAAUUCUACGCUUAUAUAUCCGCCAUGCAAAAUUCACACAAGCAAACGGUGUAAAUUCCGAUGUGACGAUUGUGAUUUGCUUCUUUGUUCUCUCUGUUCAUCGUCAUCUGCCCAUGAACGACAUAAACAUUCUAACACCUUUGAAGUGUACAGAUCUAAAAAAGAGUUGAUUAAAAACGAUGCUGAAAAGAUAGAAAACAAAGUCCUACCAGCAUGCAAAGAAAUGGAAAAGGAUAUAGAAGCACAUAUAUCUAAUAUAGAUGAAGCAUUUGAGAGGGUUAUUUUAGCAGUUGAGAAUCAUGGCAAAUAUUGGCACAAGAAAAUCGAUUUCAUUUUGAGAGAAAUGAAAGAUAAUAUUGGCCAGAUAAAGAAGAGACAAACAGAAUUUCUGAAGAAAAACUUAACCACACUUCAAACUUUGAGUUCUGUUCUUCAAAAGCGUAUACUUGAUCUUAAAUACAUCUCUAAAUCAAAUAAAAUAUCUGAUGCCAUAGCUUACAGCUCAAACAAUGAGCUGUUAAAACUUCCUUCUAAAGUUAAAGUUACUCCACCCCAAUUUCACCAAAUCUUGAUGAAGAACUAACCCUUGACGAAUUUGGUACCCUUACACCGGGUGCCUUAAGUACAGAAGACCAGUGCUACUCAAUGGUAAAACAAGACAUUCCUUCUUCUAAACAUGAUAAAAUUCUGCUUGAAAAACCAAAUAUUAUUGCCACCUUAGUAACAGGAACUGCAUCAAGCGUUGCCAAUGAUAAUGAUGAAAACAUAUGGACAAGUAGCUACUCAAAUUCUAUUAUACAAUGCCAUUGUAUGCAAAGUUCCAUAUCCAAACAGAUGGCAUCCCAAUCAGGACAAAUACUCAGAGAUAUAACAGUAAAUAAUGAGGGUGAUUUGCUCUAUAUCAGCCAAAAAACGCUGUACAAAAUCAAAAAUGGAACAACAGAAAAUGUUCAUAAAUUUUUUGGAUGGACACCAAAAAACCUUUGUAGAACUCAAACUGGUGAAAUUCUUGUGUCCAUGUACAGUGAAGAUGAAACUCAGUCGAGAGUUGUCCGUUACAAUGGAUCUACGGAAAAACAAACAAUUCAGUUUGAUGACGAAGGUGAACCCCUUUACUCCAGCAAUGACUGCACGAAACACAUUUGCGAAAAUGGAAACGGUGACAUUUGCGUUGCAGACUGGAGAGCCCGUGAUGUUGUUGUGGUUAAUCAAAGUGGUAGACUUCAAUUCAAGUACAACAGAAAAGAAUAUAAAUACGAAUUUAGUCCAUUUGGAAUCGCAACAGAUAGUCAUUGGCAUAUAUUGACAUCAGAUGAUACAAACAGACACAUUCACGUUUUGGACCACUUUGGCCAGUACCUCCGAUAUAUUUCCAACUGUGAGCUGAACAACCCAAAAGGGUUAUGCAUAGAUAAUAACGACGAUUUAUAUGUUUGCGAGGCAUCUCUUGGGGUGGUGAAAAAAAUCAAAUAUAUUCACGAGGGCUCUUGGGAAAAUACUGAGACACCCCUUGAAAUCGCCUUUCUAAUUGGCAAAUUUUAUUGAAAAUUACCUUACACAUUAAACAAACAAACAAACAAACAAACAAAAAUAAUAAAUGGGAAUGACGUUUGAUGCUCCGAGAGUAAAACGCUGGCAUUAAUAUAUACGAAUGACUUUUAGAUCUAUAGUGUUUUUGUGAACUAUUAUAAAAAGUGACAAAAAAGGUAACUUGGCCAGAUUAUAGUUAAUAGUGUGGAUAACUAUCUGUUUGAAAAAACAAUAAAAAUAGUACUUCAAAUUUAUUUACAGGAAUAAAGAAAAUAUGAAAUUAUGAUAACAAGGAUUAAGUUGUAUCCUAGAUGUAUACUUCUGGUCAAUUUAAUUCUUUUGAGAAGUCAUGUACAUGUCUUCUUUUUUUUUUUACAAAUUAGAAAAUAUGUAGUUGAGUAUCUACUGAUACUUAUUAUUAGUAUUGUUACUUGUUACAUUUUUAUAUGAGAUUUUUUCAUCAGCUGAUUUUGUAGCGAUGCUACUUGACAUGCAGUCAAUGCCAUUACUUAUUAAGUUUGUGACAGGAAAUACCGUAUACGAUGUUGUAACUGUUUUAUACAUUUUUUGGUAGUAUAUGCUGUAAUGCUAGUUUUUGUUUUGUUUGCGUAUGUAUAUUUAAUUUUUUCUGUCCCGAUGGAGAGGUUUUUUUUGUAUUUUAUAUGAUGUAUUUUAGAUGAAAACGUCAAUACAAGUAAAUUUUAGUGUUAAUAAAUACAUCUACUAAAACAUGCUCAAUAGUAUUAGUAAGACUUAUUAUGUGUUUAAUAAAAAUCUUG